AACGUGCUCCGGGGUCGGUGAGAAUCCGAACCGGCGGUGAGAGUCCGCGACCCUCGAGGCCCUCGGGCCGAGAGGUUGAUCCGGUGGAAUUCCGGGACCGACGGUGAUGCGACGCGAGUCGCUAGUCCGGAUGAGAGGAAGCACGGC
rfam:Microbacterium sp. TS-1 DNA, contig: MspTS1nb02.